UACGUAGGGUGCAAGCGUUGUCCGGAAUUAUUGGGCGUAAAGAGCUCGUAGGCGGUCUGUCGCGUCGGCUGUGAAAACUCGGGGCUCAACUCCGAGCUUGCAGUCGAUACGGGCAAGCUAGAGUUCGGUAGGGGAGAUUGGAAUUCCUGGUGUAGCGGUGAAAUGCGCAGAUAUCAGGAGGAACACCGGCGGCGAAGGCGGGUCUCUGGGCCGAUACUGACGCUGAGGAGCGAAAGCGUGGGGAGCGAACAGG
rnacentral:rRNA from 1 species